GGGGAAUAUUGGACAAUGGGCGCAAGCCUGAUCCAGCCAUGCCGCGUGGGUGAAGAAGGCCUUCGGGUUGUAAAGCCCUUUUGUUGGGAAAGAAAAGCAGCCGGCCAAUACCCGGUUGUUCUGACGGUACCCAAAGAAUAAGCACCGGCUAACUUCGUUCCAGCAGCCGCGGUAAUACGAAGGGUGCAAGCGUUACUCGGAAUUACUGGGCGUAAAGCGUGCGUAGGCGGCUUUUUAAGUCGGAUGUGAAAUCCCCGAGCUUAACUUGGGAAUUGCAUUCGAUACUGGGAAGCUAGAGUAUGGGAGAGGAUGGUAGAAUUCCAGGUGUAGCGGUGAAAUGCGUAGAGAUCUGGAGGAAUACCGAUGGCGAAGGCAGCCAUCUGGCCUAAUACUGACGCUGAGGUACGAAAGCAUGGGGAGCAAACA
rnacentral:rRNA from 1 species